rnacentral:rRNA from 1 species
ACGAACGCUGGCGGCGUGCUUCACCCAUGCCAGUCGAACGGAAAGGCCCUGCUUUUGUGGGGUGCUCGAGUGGCGAACGGGUGAGUAACACGUGAGUAACCUGCCCUUGACUUUGGGAUAACUUCAGGAAACUGGGGCUAAUACCGGAUAGGAGCUCCUGCUGCAUGGUGGGGGUUGGAAAGUUUCGGCGGUUGGGGAUGGACUCGCGGCUUAUCAGCUUGUUGGUGGGGUAGUGGCUUACCAAGGCUUUGACGGGUAGCCGGCCUGAGAGGGUGACCGGCCACAUUGGGACUGAGAUACGGCCCAGACUCCUACGGGAGGCAGCAGUGGGGAAUAUUGCACAAUGGGCGGAAGCCUGAUGCAGCAACGCCGCGUGCGGGAUGACGGCCUUCGGGUUGUAAACCGCUUUCGCCUGUGACGAAGCGUGAGUGACGGUAAUGGGUAAAGAAGCACCGGCUAACUACGUG